GGCACACUCCCAGCCUCCCUGGCACCUGCUGCCUGCAGGUGGCUACAGUGACAGUCGCCAGCAAUUCAAGGACCUGAGAAGAAGCCGGUAUCUGGAGAGUCUCUGGAAAAAGACAAAGAUGUGUCUCCUGCUUUUCUCUGUAAAGAAAAAAGUGCAGAAGGCCUAUGUUAGUGUUUCCUCCCCAGAACUGACAAGAUGAUGCUGUGGCUGGGAUCAAGAAGGAAACCACCCCUCUAAAUACAGGCCCACCUUCUUCCCCCUGGAUAGAUUAUUCUGACUCUAAGGAAAACUUCAGCCAUGCUUUGUUGUCAAAUCCAAAUAACAGUUCCCGAAGUGAGUACAG
rnacentral:lncRNA from 12 species